UACGUAGGGGGCAAGCGUUGUCCGGAAUCAUUGGGCGUAAAGCGCGCGUAGGCGGCCCGGUAAGUCCGCUGUGAAAGUCGGGGGCUCAACCCUCGGAUGCCGGUGGAUACUGUCGGGCUUGAGUACGGAAGAGGCGAGUGGAACUCCUGGUGUAGCGGUGAAAUGCGCAGAUAUCAGGAGGAACACCAAUUGCGAAGGCAGCUCGCUGGGACGUUACUGACGCUGAGGCACGAAAGCGUGGGGAGCAAACAGG
rnacentral:rRNA from 1 species